rnacentral:misc_RNA from 1 species
GAACGCAUCUUGCGCUCCUUGGUAUUCUGAGGAGCAUGCCUGUUUGAGUGUCAUUUCAACCAUCAAGCCCUAGGCUUGUGUUGGGGCCCUGCGGCCGUCCGCAGCCCCCUAAAAACAGUGGCGGGCUCGCUAUAUACCGAGUGCAGUAGUUUACUCUUCGCUCAGGACAUGUAGUGGGUUCUUGCCGUAAAACCCCCCAUUUUUUAAGGUUGACCUCGGAUCAGGUAGGAAUACCCGCUGAACUUAAG